rnacentral:rRNA from 1 species
AUUGAACGCUGGCGGCAGGCCUAACACAUGCAAGUCGAACGAGUGGCGGACGGGUGAGUAAUGUCUGGGAAACUGCCUGAUGGAGGGGGAUAACUACUGGAAACGGUAGCUAAUACCGCAUACCAUCGGAUGUGCCCAGAUGGGAGUAGCUAGUAGGUGGGGUAAAGGCUAACCUAGGCGACGAUCCCUAGCUGGUCUGAAAGGCUGACCAGCCAUACUGGAACUGAGACACGGUCCAGACUACUAUGAGAGUUAGAAGGGGGGAAUAGGGCACAAUGGGAGCAAGUCUGAUGCAGCCAUGCCGCGUGUAUUAAGAAGGCCUUCGGUUUGUAAAGUACUGUCAGCGGGGAGGCGUUACCCGCAGAAGAAGCACCGGCUAACGCCGGGCCAGCAGCCGCGGUAAGAC